AUUGAAGAAAAAUUUGAAAUUAAUAGACGCUUCAGAAACAAUUAAUCUCUUGUCUCGUAAAUAUAACAUUGGUAGAUUUACUGUAUAUAUCAUAAAAAAAUUAUAAAGAUAACAUAUUAAAAUGCAAAGAAGAUGAUGCAGCAAACACGAAUAGAGGAAUAAAAAUGAAUAACAGCUUCUAAAAGUCGGUGAAAGUAAUUCAUCUUUGCAUGAAAGAUCAGAUAGCGAACAAACCGUAAUCACAAAGUUAUAUGUAUAAUGUCGCAAGGUGCAUUUCGCACUGCGUAGAAUGCGAUGUAGAAAAUGUGAUUAAAAAUUACGGAAAUGAUAAAGGAUUUAAUAUUCUUAACGACAAUAAAAUAAUAUCUCAAGUUAUAGAGGAUCAAUCUGAAGUGAAUGUAUAAUCAGUUUCAGAUAUCUAGAAAUAAAGAAAUAAAUACAAGACAUGCCCAUAAAGCGACAUUUUAUUAGAAAAUAAGCUUACAUAUUGCAAAGAAAAUAUAUUAGGAACAUCGUAAGAAAAGAGAGUGGAACGUAGUGUAUAAAGAGGUGGGAAAAGGUGAGCACUUAAAAUAAACCUACCAGUUACAAACUGAAAAACUCUCGUUUUUUAACUUUUCUAUGCCUAUAACGAAAAUUAAAAAAAAUACGUAUUGUAGAUCUCGAUAAGUUACAUGCAUGCCGAAAAUUUCAUCGAAAUCAGUUAACGCAAGGUCAUAGUUACGAGCAUUAAACAAAUUUUAAAACAGCAACUUUCUCACAAUUAUUGGACAGAAAUAUUAAAAAUCAGGACAAAACUGCGAUUUUUGCGAUCUUUAAUUGUUUACCGCUUAUACCAAAGUCAACCGAUUCCGCUGAAAUUUUCAACAUGCAUAUAAAUUACCGAGAUCUAUGAAAUGCAUUUCUUAAAUCUUCGUUAUAUAUAUUUCGUCAUAUAUUAUUUUCUUUAAUCAUUCUAAGCAAUAACAAAAUUCAAGUUGUUCAGUCCAGUUCUAAGCAAGUUAUGGCGUUUUAAAAGUUGUCCGAAUAUUAAUAUAAAUAAAUAUGGCCGCGACGCCAUAUAUCCGCAAGAACCGAUUGCCCACGUGGAAGACACGUGCUUCCAGUUUCGCAAGCUUUCUCGAGACGCCAUAUGCGUAACGCACGUGGCGUGUAAUAAUUCGCACUGGCGAAUAAUUAGCCCAUCCGAGAGAAGGUGUCCGAGCCAUUGAAAUGUAAAUGAAGAAAUUCGUACUGAUAAUGAGACUUACCGAAAAACCGAUCAGAAAUUCCCAGUUACGAAUGCGGAUCCUGGCCGGUCACUAGUCUUGACAUAUCUUUGGAACGGUCGCUGCCAGUUGUUGCCAGCACUGUCCUUUAUUAUUUCGCCUGCUGCCCUAUGGUCUUUAGCGGCUAUCUUCCUUCAUUUCGUAUGAAUUAAUCUCGGCUCGAAUUGUCACAGUUACACUUAUUUCUUCCAAACACCCAACGCUACGGUCUACGCGACAGUGAUCCUCGUUCUCGGCAGAUCGCUUCCUCAGCCAGAAACGAGGCAUUCCCCACUCCCCAGACUCACGGCUCGGCACGACGCACAAACCCUACGCGCACUCGCCGUUGCUCAGGGCCGGCACCAUUCGACUCAGCCCACGCUCCGAGCGUCCUAGAUCUCGCGGCAUAAUUCAGUGACUGUAGAGAAUACCGCAACAUGUUACAAUUUCAAGAAAUUUCAGUUUAUGCAAAUACGAUAAGCUCAAUAAAUGGAAAACCAAGAAAGGAAUUGGUUUCUGUAAGAACUUUAAAGGACAAACAUCUCGAAAGUGAAAACAUGUGACAUUCAGUGUUUUUUCUUCCAGCCGCAGAAUUUCCUUCUUUCCUGAUUUUGUUAAAAGACUUACUAAUCACUUUGCAAAUAAAGAUAAAAAAAAUACAAAAAUCAUGCUUUCCACAAAACAAAAAAAUAAAUUAUUAUAUUCAAAAAACUCUACCAAAUUGCAGAAAAACAGUCUAGACUGAGCCCUCUUAUAGCAAACUACGUGUUACAUUUAAGAUUACUUUUUUUGUCCGUGAAAUGUGUAUACGCUAUACGUGAUUGUACUGAACAUGUGUAAUAAAUUAUGAUACCCAAAGCUCA